rnacentral:sRNA from 1 species
GCCAGGCACUUUGUUGCAUGCCUGUAAUCCCAGCUGCUUGGGAGGCUGAGGCAGGAGGAUCGUAACUUCAAAGCCACCAAUGGAGAGGCACUGAGCAACUCAGUGAAACCCUGUCUCUA